CCCUUAGAUGUUCUGGGCCGCACGCGUGCUACACUGAGUGGAUCAGCGGGUCAGGUUGCGCGAAAGUGUUUCCUAAUCAUUAAAUCCGCUCGUGAUGGGGAUUGACGGUUGCAAUUUUCCGUCAUGAACGAGGAAUACCUUGUAAGCGCGGGUCAUCAUCCCGCGCUGAAUACGUCCCUGCCCUUUGUACACACCGCCCGUCGCUCCUACCGAUUGAGUGGUCCGGUGAGGCUUUGGGAUCUGAGCGGAAAGAGCGUUUCGCUGUUUCUGCCCGGAAAACUCAGUCGAACCUUAUCAUUUAGAGGAAGGAGAAGUCGUAACA
rnacentral:rRNA from 1 species